rnacentral:rRNA from 1 species
GUCCACGCCGUAAACGAUGGAUACUAGCUGUUCGGAGCAAUCUGAGUGGCUAAGCGAAAGUGAUAAGUAUCCCACCUGGGGAGUACGUUCGCAAGAAUGAAACUCAAAGGAAUUGACGGGGCCGCACAAGCGGAGGAGCAUGUGGUUUAAUUCGAUGAUACGCGAGGAACCUUACCAGGGCUUAAAUGGGAGACGACAGGACUGGAAACAGUUUUUCUUCGGACGUCUUUCAAGGUGCUGCAUGGUUGUCGU